rnacentral:snoRNA from 1 species
UCCCAAAACUUCAAGUCAGGAUAUUUUCCGUUCUUAAUAGAACAUAUCUCAACGAAAACGUCUGUUAAAGUUUUGGAAGAUUAAUACUACUCGCUUCUCCUAUCGUGUCCGUUUUGGAUGCAUUUUUGGAGGGUUUGGUGGGCAAUUUUUGUUUUAAAGAUAUGCCACCAUCAUUUUUGAGUAGCGAGGCACCUAAGAGUUGAGCUCGGGAUGCGUGUUCCUCAGUAACGCGCUAACUUUUCCCGUUUUCGUAGUAAGGUGCCUUACAUUG